AACGAACGCUGGCGGCAGGCUUAACACAUGCAAGUCGAACGCAUCCUUCGGGGUGAGUGGCAGACGGGUGAGUAACGCGUGGGAACAUGCCCUUCAGUUCGGAAUAACCCAGGGAAACUUGGGCUAAUACCGGAUACGUGCGAGAGCAGAAAGAUUUAUCGCUGAAAGGAGUGGCCCGCGUCUGAUUAGCUAGUUGGUGAGGUAAAGGCUCACCAAGGCGACGAUCAGAGCUGGUCUGAGAGGAUGAUCAGCCACACUGGGACUGAGACACGGCCCAGACUCCUACGGGAGGCAGCAGUCGAGAAUCUUCACAAUGGGGGAAACCCUGAUGGAGCGACGCCGCGUGGAGGAUAAGGUCUUCGGAUUGUAAACUCCUGUCAUGCGAGAACAAAGCCCGCAAGGGCCUGAUAGUAUCGCAAGAGGAAGAGACGGCUAACUCUGUGCCAGCAAGCCGCU
rnacentral:rRNA from 1 species